GGCGAACGCUGGCGGCGGGCCUAACACAUGCAAGUCGAACGAACCAUUCGGGGUUAGUGGCGGCCGGGUGAGGAACGCGUGGGAACGGGCCUAUAGGUGCGGAAUAACUCAGUGAAACUUGUGCUAAUAGCGCAUGUGCGCUUCGUGGGACAGAUUUAUAGCAUUUAGAGCGGCCCGCGUCUGGAUAGGUAGUUGGUGAGGUAAUGGCUCACCAAGGCGACGAUCAGUAGCUGGCCUGAGAGGAUGACCAGCCACAUUGGGACUGAGACACGGCCCAAACUCCUACGGGAGGCAGCAGUGGGGAAUCUUGCGCAAUGGGUGAGAGCCUGACGCAGCCAUGCCGCGUGGAUGAUUAAGUUCUUAGGAUUGUAAAAUCCCUUCACCAGUGAAGAUAAUGACUGUAGCCGGAUAAGAAGCCCCGGCUAACUUCGUGCCAGCCGCCGCAGUAAAAC
rnacentral:rRNA from 1 species